UUUGGAACCACAAGCUUACUUCUGCGAAGUUCUUUCUAAUGCUAAAAAAACGAACUAUAGUUUUCAUUGCUAAACACUUUUAGCAUGUUAAAUUUCUGUUUUUUUUUUUUAAUUAGAGCGUAAUUUCGAUUGUACGAGUAUGGCGGCGGCUCGGUUGAGUCAGCGGUUACUUCGUAACGCGCCAUCUUGAAACGAUUGGGAAUACAGCAAAAAGUAACCAGACGUCCCAUAGUAUAACUUACCUUUCAUACACUUAUGCUAUUAAACCGCCUGUAGAGACUAGCUACUAAGGUUUACAAAAAGUAUAAUUUGGACUUAAUGUUAACAUUAUUACUUAUAAAAUUCUUAUAACCUGUCCGAUUUUGAGGAUUAGAUUUAUCUGACAUGAACUAUAUACGAGAAUUACAGAGAAGUGUCGGCUACGUGACGCAAUUUUUUUAACGCUUCUGAUAAAGUUAAGAAGCCAAUAUUUGGUAUAAUAACGUUUAAUAACUUGGCUGUACAUUCUACAGUAUAAUAAUAUAGAUUUCUUCAGGUUAUUAAGGUAAACAUAUAUCUGCCAUAUGCGUCCUCGACAAAGUAGACAUUUAUAAGGACUUAGUCGCUUAAAACUAUAGUUCAGAUAAAUUCAAUCCGGACAAUUAUAUCAAUACAUUUUGUGGCAAAGUGUGUGUAUAAAAUGUCAAGAUAGGAUUGAUAUUUGUUAAACAACAAGUACUUAUGUCUCGAAGUUAAAACCUUAUUCUUUAGGACCACCCCACACUAGCGUCUUUUGAGCAUCGGCGUCUAGUCAGCGCUAUGGAAAAUGGCGUCGCUGCGCAGUUGCGUCAACGUUGCGUCGAGCAGCAGCCAGCCAUAGAGACUAGACGCCGCCGCUCGGGAGGCUCGAUGGUCUAGUGGGCCCUUAAAACCUUGUAAAAAAAGGAAAAAGUACAAAAUGCAGCUAAAUGUAAUUGACAAUGCUUGUCUUAAUAACUAAUUUGGUUGUACUUUUAGUUUUUGUGAUGGUUUUAAUCAACGUAAUUGUAAAAAUAUGUCAAUGAACUAACAGUGUAUUUGAUACCAAAGUUCGAAAUCUAAAACUGGCUAUAUUACCUAAAACUUUGAUCUGUGAAAGGUUUUGUUAUAUGACUUUAAUAUUAAAACCCAGGCUCCUGUUUCACUACGCUGACAAUUGUCGCCUGACAUUGUUAAUUCACCGUUCAUUUCUGAUUCAACAAGUAAAUAUUGAUGAUAGCCGUGGUUGCUUACCGACCCGGAAAUGUACAGGAAAUUGUCUGUGUCAGAUGUCACUUGUCAAGUUGGUGAAAUAGGCGCCAGGUUUAAAAUUGAUAUUUGUGAAAUUCAACUUUGUGAAUUGAUUUAACACUAAAAGAUUUGAUUUGUAUCUUAGUAUUUGGAAGUCAAGUACACAGCAAACAUAGUCGUAUGUAUCCGCUUGUCAGAAGCUCAAACAAUGUUUAAUGUAUGCAUUAAAAAAGUUAACUGUCCUAAGAAUUAAAAAAAAAAUCCUGUAUUUCCAUUAAAAGCCAGUGUUGUAAAGCAAAAAUAACUGAUCACGAUUUGUGUCAUUGUUACUUGUGAUAGCGAACUCAAAAUGGUAAAUCUAUGGUUCAAAUGCCGUUCUUAGGUAAAAGAGACUUUGUUCAUUAGGGUGGUAUUCCAACUGUCCAAUAUUUGAUCAAAUGUGCAUUAGGUCUCACGCUCUCAUUAAGCAAAAUGUGAGAUGCAAAUAUAAAUUUGAUCAAAUAUUGGAUAGGUGUCCAUCCGUAGCCGAAUAAGAUAAUGUCUGAUGGGUCAUACACAUUGCUAUUAUGUAUUUGUUAUGGGCGGUAGCCUUAAACAUUAGAGAACAAUGUCAUUGUUCACAAGAUAUAGGUGGUCAAACCAAUUUGUCAGUCAGUAAGAACCAGGAAAACUAUACUCAUCCUUUUCUUUUGGGUGCUAGUACUAGUGUGAGACAAAGAUAGUGUGAUUAUUUCUGUCUAUGAUUGAAGUGAGGCAGUCCUUCGACAAACUAAUCUCUUAGCUAAACGGUCAGCUUACGUAGGCUAUGUACGCACUAGCGGUUGCAUAUUAAACUGGAAAAGCGGCUAGCCGCGCGGGUUUUGCCGCUCCCGCGGUUAACCGCUAGUGCGUUAUGGCCCUUAAACAGUUUCAACUUUACAUGUAUACCACGUUUUACUGUAUUGUCCGCAGUGACCUUUUUCUGAAAUGUGUUUGACCUAUAUUCUAAGAACGACAAUUGGCCGUUAUUUUUACACUGAUGGUUACAAAAUGUUCCCGUGCGGGAUGGUAUGGUACGAUUAGGUUAGGAGGUGGAAUAUGGGUCUCAAAGAGCCGCGACCAAGUCGGGCGAUGUGAUUGUUAUGAUGCUGUUAUGACGGUGCAGGAAUUACUGUUACAUCAUGAGUAUAAUUAAGAAAAUAGAUAAGUUCAGAAAUAAAUAAUUAGCAAUUUAAAACCAAUUUUGAAACGACUAAGGUCAUGUGGGGUUAGAGAUACAGUUUAAUUUGUUCGGGACAGGGGAAAAUGGUAUAAGGAUUUCCUACAAAUGUUUACCUUUGCCACAAUCUUAAUCUUACCUCAUCCAACAUUAUAUACUUUUUAUUUACAGGUCGAAAGCUGAGGACCUACCGCGAACUACGUUCCGACGUGUUACCUCUCUAUCGCACUUGUAAAUUCGUACGUAAGUGUGACAGGGAGGCAACACGUCGAACGUGGUUCGCGGUACGCCCUCUGGCACGAAUGGAAUGAACGAAACUUUAAUUGUAUGAGGUACAAAAGGCAUAAGGUCCACCGAUGUACAGUCGCCAUAUAUCAGAGCGGCCAAGGCGCUCACAAAUAUCUGAACACGCCUCUAUUGUCAAGGCGUUAGAGUGCAUGUUCAGAUAUUGUGAACACCUCGGCCGCUCCGAUAUAUCUGAUGGCGACUACAGUUAGCAGUGUGAGCGAUGGUACUAUCAUGUAACAGUGACUCUAAGCAUCAAGUAGUGUUACUAAAUGAAGCCGAGGGUGUCAAUUCUUACGUAACACCAAGUGAACCUUAGAUAUAGAUUAUUUUAAUUGGCUUAUACAAAUUAUUUGGCAGAAUAAAGAUAGCACCCGAGGCUAAUGGAUAAGCGGUUAUAGCCUUUUCAAACAUUUGUGCGUACAAAUUAAAAGGAUUAAAAGUUAUAUUCUCAUUGGUUAUGGACGCCGAAGAAUUUCGUUCAGUGACCUGCCAUUUCCUAUCCCUAUUGCACGCGCAUAAUUAUAUUGCUGUUCCGCCGAUGAUGCCGGUGGUUAAUGCCACUGUGCGAGCGGGACAGCAAUAUAAUUAUGCGCGUGCGACAGAGCUAGAAAAUGGCGGGUCAAUGUACGAAAUUAAUCGUGCUUAGCGUCCUUACUUUAGCCUACCCUGUAAUUUUUACGAGCUAUGUAGGUUUUUGCCUGUGAACUUGACAGUUGAUGAUAACUGUAGAUAUUCAUUUGAAUAAGUACAGUCGCCUUCAGUACGUUACACAACUAAGGCCGUAAAAUAUCUGAUUUUAUUUGUAGAGCCAUAAGGGCGUGUCACAUAUUUUUGGGGCUUUUGAACAGCAUAUUAUUGCAGGUGACUGUACUAAAAAGUAAAAGUGCAAAUCUAGGUCCUUUUAAUAUUUACGCAGAAAUGUUUUGAAAAAAAUGGUUUAGAUAGUUAUACGUUACGAAUUUUAAACAUAUUGUUAGGAGUCAUUUUACACUCGUGUUAUUGUAUGCUAGAGUGUUGACAAUAUCUUUUGGAAUUCCUCUAUAUUUUGUAUACAGCCCAAUAUUUAUUGUACAGUGUAAUAAAAUACAAUGCAUGUAUAA